rnacentral:rRNA from 1 species
UACAGAGGGUGCAAGCGUUGUUCGGAAUUAUUGGGCGUAAAGGGCGCGUAGGCGGUGCGGUAAGUCUGUCGUGAAAUCUCCCGGCUCAACUGGGAGGGUGCGGUGGAGACUGCCGGACUGGAGGCACUCAGAGGCCGGUGGAAUUCCCGGUGUAGUGGUGAAAUGCGUAGAGAUCGGGAGGAACACCAGUGGCGAAGGCGGCCGGCUGGGGGUGACCUGACGCUGAGGCGCGAAAGCGUGGGGAGCGAACCGG